UCCCAGCACCUGUAGGUGCCUCGGGCUGUGGAGCUCGUGGCUGCGGUUUGUGGGGAGAAACUAACGAGAAAUUGGCUUGGGAAGCAAAUUGCGAGCCGUCAAGGACAGAUACGGUGCCCGCCGUUCCUGUGGUUGUGUUUGGAGGAGACCUGAGGGAGCGGUUUCCCCGGGUUUGGGCCUUCCAGAGUUUUGUCCCGAGGCAAUUUCAGAUCCAAUGCUUUUAUCUUAAGCAGGACAAGGGAUAAGACUGGAGCAUCCUGCUAACUAUUCUGUCCCCAGAUGGCCGGACAUGUGGUCCUGGCGGCUGGGGCAGUGACCUCCUGGACUCACAGUCACAGCUCAUGGCCUCUCAUUGCCACAGGGAGGUGAGGACAGUGAUUUCAGGACUUGCUCCAAGAUUCACCUUUGCUUCAAGAAUCUGUCCUCCAUUCGCAGAACGGAGGGUGGCUAGCCAGAGGCCUGCCCCUUCAAGCCUGCUUCCCUAAGACUAGAGACUGUACAGAGGGUCAGACAGCAAAGAAGGGGAAGCCAGCCCUUCUUGUGAAGGGCUGUUCACUACGUAUUAGGACUUUUGCCUCUUCUAGCCACUUUACUAGACCUCAGGAUAUGAAGAAUGGUUAGAACGAAGCUGUAUUUCUGCAGUCAGGAGGCCGCCCACUCAGCAUGUCCAGGCACUGGAGUCAUGCAGAUCACCCAGGUCCCACUGGACCACUGUGGCUCCUGCAGUCUGUGUCGGAGUUGGGAAAUGUCUGUGUGGGAACAAGCAAGACGAAACCUGAGGAGUUGAAGCCUCCUGGGGAGGACAAAAACGAAUGGUUAAUCCAAAAGAAAACAUAUGUUCCUCUCUUGGGUACUUUUUAAGCUCAGGAAGUCUGUCAAUGAUAAUUACGAAAAGAUGUAACAAGACUGUUUCUGGAAGAUGGGAGGAACAGAGUAAAGUCAUUCCUAUCAACAAAGACAGCUUGGAUACCAGACCAGGAUCACAAGCCUGCCUCCCAAGAGCAUAUUCUCAUUCCAUUCUUUUCCGUGGAAUCACAGCACGAGUCAGCUUCCUUCAGCAUUAUUUUGGCCUCACGCCUUUCAAAUCACACUUAAGCUCCUGAUCCAGAUGUGAGAGCAAUCUGGCUGAGACAUCUGCCACCCCUUUGUUCGUCAGUGCUGACUUUACUGAUCCAACUGGGAAGGCAGAUGUCCCCUUCCUUCCUCACGCUCCGUGUGCACCCCAUCCCCCACGAAGCUGCACACAUGGAAUUGCUGGUAAACAAACAGGAAGGGAAGCCGUGGUCUUGGGCAAAACUGUCGAAGGAAAGAUUAGAGUCUAAGAGGAGGGGUGGGCCAGGGACUAAGUAUUAGGAAACUCUGACAUUGAAUGGCCAAGUCGUGAAGGGUAUGCCUGAAAGGAAGCAGAGAAGUAGAUGUCAGGGAGUUAGGAGGAAAACCAGAAAAAUGUGGUGUUGUGGAAGCUGAGGGAAGAGAGGGUCUCAAGUAAAGAGACAUAAACAAAACGUGGCAUGUAAUACAAUGGAA